rnacentral:rRNA from 1 species
UCAAGUUACUAAGAGCACACAGGGGAUGCCUUGGUGCAGGUAGGCGAUGAAGGACGUGGCAAGCUGCGAUAAGCUCCGGGGAGCCGCUAAGCGGGCUUCGAUCCGGAGAUGUCCGAAUGGGGAAACCCACCGCGGUAAAGCCGCGGUAUCCUCAUCUGAAUACAUAGGGUGAGGAAGCGAACCCGGGGAAGGGAAACAUCUUAGUACCCGGAGGAAGAGAAAGCAACCGCGAUUCCCUGAGUAGCGGCGAGCGAAACGGGAACAGCCCAAACCACUUGCAUGUUAAAGCCCUGGCGCGUUGUGCAGGUGGGGUCGAGGGACCUGACUUGGCUCCGGCCCGGAGGAGCCAGAGAGUCAAAAAGGGCAAUUUUAGCUGAAUACCAUGGAAAGGGUAACCAUAGAAGGUGAUAGUCAUGUAAGCGAAAAAAUUGUCUCUCUCCGUCAGGCACCCAAGUACCACGGGACACGUGGAAUCCUGUGGGAAUUUGGGAGGACCAUCUUCUAAGGCUAAAUACUAACCUGCGACCGAUAGUGUACCAGUACCGUGAGGGAAAGGUGAAAAGAACCCCUGUUAGGGGAGUGAAAGAGAACCUGAAACUGUGUGCUUACAAGCAGUCGGAGCCCCCGCAAGGGGGUGACGGCGUGCCUUUUGCAUAAUGAGCCGGCUAGUUACUCUAAGCGGCAAGGUUAAUCCUUUAGAAAGGGAGGAGCCGUAGCGAAAGCGAGUCCUAACAGGGCGCUUAGUCGUUUGGAGUAGACGCGAAGCCGAGGUGAUCUACCCUUGGCCAGGAUGAACUGCGGGUAACACCGCAGGGAGGUCCGAACCGGUGUUGGUUGAAAACAGCUCGGAUGAGCUGAGGGUAGGGGUGAAAGGCUAAUCAAACUCGGAGAUAGCUCGUUCUCCCCGAAAUAGCUUUAGGGCUAGCCUCGCGUGAAUGGUAUAGGAGGUAGAGCACUGGAUGGCCUAGGGGGCCGAAAGGCCUUCCGAAUCCAACCAAACUUCGAAUUCCUAUAACCACUGCGCGGGAGUAAGACUGCGAGCACUAAGGUCCGUAGUCAAAAGGGAAACAGCCCAGACCGCCAGCUAAGGUCCCAGAAUGCAAGCUAAGUGGGCAAGGAUGUAGAAACGCUUAGACAACCAGGAGGUUGGCUUAGAAGCAGCCAUCCUUUAAAGAAAGCGUAACAGCUCACUGGUCAAGUAUUUCCGCGCCGACAAUGUAACGGGGCUAAGCUUGCUACCGAAGCUGCGGAGACAAGCUUCGCUUGUCUGGUAGGGGAGCAUUCCGUGGGCAGUGAAGUAGGAUCGUGAGGUCUUGUGGAGCGCACGGAAGAGACUCUGCCGGCACGAGUAGCGAUAACUGCUGUAAAAACCAGCAGCGCCGAAAAUCUAAGGUUUCCUGGGGAAGGUCAGUCCGCCCAGGGUUAGUCGGUCCCUAAGCUGAGGCCGAAAGGCGUAGGCGAUGGAUAGCAGGUCAACAUUCCUGCACCACCUGAAAAGCGUUUGUACGAUGGGGGGACGCAGAAGGAUAGGCGUACGUGCGGUUGGAAAUGCACGGCCGUUAAGUAGGAGGAGCUCUUAGGCAAAUCCGGGAGCUCGUUAACUCCGAAUACAACGGGGAAGCAGGGCUUCGGUCUUGUCAACUCGCUGAUUCCACGCUGCCAAGAAAAUCCUCUAAGGAGUUUUUCAGGUGACCGUACCGCAAACCGACACAGGUAGAUGAGGAGAGAAUCCUAAGGCGCACGUGUGAGCCCUCUCUAAGGAACUAGGCAAGUUGACCCCGUAACUUCGGGAUAAGGGGUGCCUCGGUAGGGUGUAGUUGUAUAAACAAAGCCCGAGGAGGCCGCAGAAAAAUGGCUCUUGCGACUGUUUAGUAAAAACACAGGACUCUGCAAAGACAUAAAAUCGAUGUAUAGGGUCUGACGCCUGCCCGGUGCCGGAAGGUUAAGGGGAGGGGUUAUCCUGCUUCGGCGGGAGAAGCUCUGAACCGAAGCCCCGGUAAACGGCGGCCGUAACUAUAACGGUCCUAAGGUAGCGAAAUUCCUUGUCGGGUAAGUUCCGACCCGCACGAAAGGCGUAACGACAUGAGCGCUGUCUCAGAGAGGGGC